rnacentral:rRNA from 1 species
GAUGAACGCUGGCGGCGUGCCUAAUACAUGCAAGUCGAGCGAAUGGAUUAAGAGCUUGCUCUUAUGAAGUUAGCGGCGGACGGGUGAGAACACGUGGGUAACCUGCCCAUAAGACUGGGAUAACUCCGGGAAACCGGGGCUAAUACCGGAUAAUAUUUUGAACUGCAUGGUUCAAAAUUGAAAGGCGGCUUCGGCUGUCACUUAUGGAUGGACCCGCGUCGCAUAGCUAGUUGGUGAGGUAACGGCUCACCAAGGCAACGAUGCGUAGCCGACCUGGGAGGGGGAUCGGCCACACUGGGACUGAGGCACGGCCCAGACUCCUACGGGAGGCAGCAGUAGGGAAUCUUCCGCAAUGGACGAAAGUCUGACGGAGCAACGCCGCGUGAGUGAUGAAGGCUUUCGGGUCGUAAAACUCUGUUGUUAGGGAAGAACAAGUGCUAGUUGAAUAAGCUGGCACCUUGACGGUACCUAACCAGAAAGCCACGGCUAACUACGUGCCAGCCGCCGCGGUAA